GCCAGCAGCUACAGCUCUGAUUCGACCCCUAGCCUGGGAACUUCCACAUGCCAUGGGCAUUGCCCUAAAAAGACACAAAGACCAAAAAAAAAAAAGGCAAAAACUGAAAAACCCAAAUGUCUAUGAAUAGGAGGAUGACAACACAAUGUGAUAGGAGACUGGAGGACAGACACCAAAAUGCUGACCUGAUUAACUCUGAAGAGGCAGGUAGGACUAGUGAGUGUGGGCAAUAAAAUUCUGUAACACUGGAGUCUUUUCAACGACAACUUAAUCAUACAACUAAGACAUGAACACAAACCAAAAAUAUAAAUGUGCUAACAGAUUCCAGAUCCGGUAUCUUAAAAAAAAAUCAACAAUUUUUUAGCAACACCAAUAACAGCGGAUGAAACAUACACUCUCUCAACAUGACUAUUACGAAAAGAAUGCUUUCACUGAAAUGUAUAGAAUAAUAUUUUUGUCAGGUUUUUAAAAAAAUAUCCAAUUACAUUUUUCUAUUUGCAACCAUUAGUGUUCCAGAGCUGUGUUCCAUGGGGAAACUGGGCCCCUCAUUACCACUGCUGUCAACAGCCCUUUAAAGACGGCAAUUCCUUAGCCAAGGCAAAGAACUACAAGUGCAACCCUAGACAGAACUCUAGAUGCAAGCAAAAGCAGAUGAAGCCCCAUUCCUGGACUUAAUUAAUUAAGCACAAAACCAAAGGAGGAUUUUAAAAUGCCUAUUCCAGGGCUGCUCCAGAGUUCAAAGUCCAAUAAUAGCCUACAACAUCAACUCCUUACUUGAAAGCUUUUUGUAGGACAGUAAAAAGUAUAUUCUAUCAUACAACAAUGUUCUUCUUACUGAAACUAAAGAAUAUUUCUACAACUGGUCAAAGGGGGUUAAAGGAAGGAAAGAAUCAAAAACAAUGAAGUGACUUCUGGCAUAGCCUAAAAAAAAAAAACAGAGUGAAACAAUGGAAAACUUCAACACUAAGAAUUGCUUUCUUGGGAGUUCCCGUCGUGGCGCAAAAUAUAUUUUAUAGACAUAGAGAGGAAAGGGGAGAUCCAUCUAGGAUAGAAUAUAACUAGGAGCCUCAUUCGCAUAUUCAGCUCAGCACAGACACCAUGAGCUGGGGCCCUGACCAAUCAGAGCAGAUGUCAGUCAAACAAGGGCUUGGGGAUGGGGAGUGGUGGGACAAUUAACACCAAGAGAAAACAGGAGACAAAUGUAGGGUUAUUAGGAUGAAUAAAAGUGUUAAAUCUUUAUAAGACUUUCAGCUUGAAAAAAUUUUAAUAAGAUUUAUCUCCUCUGAUCAUCACCUACCUCUGGAAGCUGGACAUUACAAUAUUCCUACGUUGAAGAAAAGGAAACCAGGACAAAUGAAGGGACUCAGCCCAGGGCACUCAGUCAGCAAAGGGAGCGAACUAUGAAGCCCAUCUCUUGACCACAGGCAGCCACGUAUUAGAUUAGAAAGUGCUUUAUAUGUCAAGAUGUUAGACUUUAUUUUAUAGGAAAUGAGUUUUCAACCAAGGAUACAACAUAAAGACUUUUAGGACAUUUCCUUAUGGUGCAGCAGGUUAAGGAUCCGACGUUGUCACUGCUGAGGCUCUGGUUACUGCUGUGGCAUGGGUUCCACACCUAGCCUGGGAACUUCUGCAUGCCAUUGGUACAGCCAAAAAAAAAAAAACCCCAAUGUUCAUCUGGGAGACAAGAGAAUUUGAUGAACUAAGGAAUGACUGAAGAGGAAAGAAAGAGUCUUAGAAGACUACUGAAAGAGUGACUACUGAAAAAUGACAAGGCGUGAGAAAGACGGUAAUGGGACCUGUAUAUGCCUGUGAUAUUAUGAUAUAAAAAAACAGAUCUAUUUGGUCUUUGUUCUUGCUCCUGGCAGAGAGCUUCCAGGACCUUUGGAGUUUCCAAAGUGACAGAGGUAACAAAAGUGUCUUUUGAUAUCCAAAGCUAACCCCUUUCAACCAUUCCUGAAUUUACCCUAAAGGUAGGGGCUGGAACCAACCCUGUGAUUAGAAGGUUGAAACUUUCAGCUCCACCUCACUCUCCUCACUCCCAAUUCAUCCCCUCCCCCUAAGGAAGACAGGGGGACUGGUUAAUGAUGGUCCCCAUUAACGGUGACCAAUGAUUUCAUGAAUCAUGCCUACAUAAUAAAACCUCCAUUAAAAACCCUAAAUGGAAGUCCCCAUUUGUGGCUAAGCAGAAAUGAACCUGACUAGUAUCCAUGAGAAUGCAAGUUUGAUCCCU
rnacentral:lncRNA from 1 species